rnacentral:rRNA from 1 species
GGGGGAUAACGUUCGGAAACGGACGCUAAUACCGCAUACGUCCUACGGGAGAAAGCAGGGGACCUUCGGGCCUUGCGCUAUCAGAUGAGCCUAGGUCGGAUUAGCUAGUUGGUGGGGUAAUGGCUCACCAAGGCGACGAUCCGUAACUGGUCUGAGAGGAUGAUCAGUCACACUGGAACUGAGACACGGUCCAGACUCCUACGGGAGGCAGCAGUGGGGAAUAUUGGACAAUGGGCGAAAGCCUGAUCCAGCCAUGCCGCGUGUGUGAAGAAGGUCUUCGGAUUGUAAAGCACUUUAAGUUGGGAGGAAGGGCCGUUACCUAAUACGUGAUGGUUUUGACGUUACCGACAGAAUAAGCACCGGCUAACUCUGUGCCAGCAGCCGCGGUAAUACAGAGGGUGCAAGCGUUAAUCGGAAUUACUGGGCGUAAAGCGCGCGUAGGUGG